rnacentral:rRNA from 1 species
GAUGAACGCUGGCGGCGUGCCUAAUACAUGCAAGUCGAGCGAACGGACGAGAAGCUUGCUUCUCUGAUGUUAGCGGCUGACGGGUGAGUAACACGUGGAUAACCUACUUAUAAGACUUGGAUAACUUCGGGAAACCGUAGCUAAUACCGGAUAAUAUUUUGAACCGCAUGGUUCAAAAGUUCAUGACGGUCUUGCUGUCACUUAUAGAUGGAUCCGCGCUGCAUUAGCUAGUUGGUAAGGUAACGGCUUACCAAGGCAACGAUGCAUAGCCGACCUGAGAGGGGGAUCGGCCAAACUGGAACGGAAACACGGUCAAGACUCCUACGGGAGGAAGCAGUAGGGAAUCUUCCGAAAUGGGCGAAAGCCUGACGGAGCAAAGCCGCGUGAGUGAUGAAGGUCUUCGGAUCGUAAAACUCUGUUAUUAGGGAAGAACAUAGGAGGAAGUAACUGUGCACAUCUUGACGGAACCAAAUCAGAAAGACACGGCUAACUACGUG